UACGGAGGGGGCUAGCGUUGUUCGGAAUUACUGGGCGUAAAGCGCACGUAGGCGGCUUUGUAAGUUAGAGGUGAAAGCCCAGGGCUCAACCCUGGAAUAGCCUUUAAUACUGGAUAUCUUGAGUUCGGGAGAGGUGAGUGGAACUCCGAGUGUAGAGGUGAAAUUCGUAGAUAUUCGGAAGAACACCAGUGGCGAAGGCGACUCACUGGCCCGAUACUGACGCUGAGGCGCGAAAGCUAGGGGAGCAAACAGG
rnacentral:rRNA from 1 species